UUCCUACGGGAGGCAGCAGUGAGGAAUAUUGCGCAAUGGGGGAAACCCUGACGCAGCGACGCCGCGUGAGUGAGGAAGGCCUUCGGGUCGUAAAGCUCUGUCAGAAGGGAAGAAGUGUUAUACGGUUAAUACCCGUAUAAUUUGACGGUACCUUCAGAGGAAGCACCGGCUAACUCCGUGCCAGCAGCCGCGGUAAUACGGAGGGUGCGAGCGUUGUUCGGAAUUACUGGGCGUAAAGGGCGCGUAGGCGGCUUUAUAAGUCAGAUGUGAAAGCCCACGGCUUAACUGUGGAAGUGCAUUUGAAACUGUGAAGCUUGAGUAUCGGAGGGGAGUGUGGAAUUCCCGGUGUAGAGGUGAAAUUCGUAGAGAUCGGGAGGAACACCGGUGGCGAAGGCGACACUCUGGACGAAUACUGACGCUGAGGCGCGAAAGCGUGGGGAGCAAACAGGAUUAGAUACCCUGGUAGUCCACGCCGUAAACGAUGUGAACUAGAGGUAGGUGGUGUUGAUCCCAUCUGUCUCGCAGCUAACGCAUUAAGUUCACCGCCUGGGGAGUACGGUCGCAAGAUUAAAACUCAAAUGAAUUGACGGAA
rnacentral:rRNA from 1 species